GCCCGGGUGGCGAAAUUGGUAGACGCAGCGGAUUCAAAAUCCGCCGCCAGAAAUGGUGUGCCGGUUCGAGUCCGGCCCCGGGCACCA
rnacentral:tRNA from 4 species